UAGGCAGGCUAGACCGUCGCCCCGAAAGGGGAGGAAAGUCCGGGCUCCGUAGAGCAUGGUACCGGGUAACACCCGGACACCCGAUCAGGGUGAUAGAAAGUGCCACAGAAAACAAACCGCCCGGGGGCUAUGCCCCACGGGUAAGGGUGAAAAGGCGGUGUAAGAGACCACCGCUUCGAUGGCGACAUCGAAGGCACGGCAAACCUUACCAGGAGCAAAGUCAAGAAGCGGAGAGGUGCUCCCUCAGUAUCCGCGGGUAGACUGCUAGAGGGUUUCGGAAACGGAACUCCCAGAUAGAUGACGGUCCUCGACAGAACCCGGCUUAUCGGCCUGCCAUUUUU
rnacentral:RNase_P_RNA from 1 species